AUAAACCAUUAUAACUAAUAUAAACAUCUUAUAAACCAUUAUACAUGUCUCAUAGGCCGUCAUCUUAUUUGUCUCUAAUUGGAACUUCUCAAACCAUAUCUAAUGAAUACUUUAAAUCAAGGAUUCAAAACACUCAAGGAAUGAGACUCGUGAAGUAGAGAGAUGAUGAAAAGAAAAAGGAUACAGCCUGAGAUCUUUGAU
rnacentral:lncRNA from 1 species